rnacentral:rRNA from 1 species
UACGGAGGAUGCGAGCGUUAUCCGGAUUUAUUGGGUUUAAAGGGUGCGUAGGCGGACUGUCAAGUCAGCGGUAAAAUUGAGAGGCUCAACCUCUUCCCACCGUUGAAACUGGUGGUCUUGAGUGGAUGAGAAGUACGCGGAAUGCGUGGUGUAGCGGUGAAAUGCAUAGAUAUAACGCAGAACUCCGAUUGCGAAGGCAGCGUACCGGCACCCAACUGACGCUGAGGCACGAAAGCGUGGGGAUCAAACAGG